rnacentral:other from 1 species
AACUGCCUGCCCUGUUGGUGAUAAGAGGAAAAGUUGAUCCGGCAAAUUAGAUCUUUUGGGAGCCUGAGUAAGGAGUCGGUGUGCAUGUCCCGCAUGCAAAUUGCGGGAAAGCCUAAAGUCUCCUUCAAGGCACCCACCUAUUUUAUAGGCGGAUCUAAUCUCCCUUACACGGCAGGGUGGGUUUAUU